rnacentral:rRNA from 1 species
UUCCGAACACGGAAGUUAAGCUCUUCAGCGCCGAUGGUACUGCAUGGGAGACUAUGUGGGAGAGUAGGUCGCCGCCGAAU